rnacentral:rRNA from 1 species
UACGUAGGGUGCAAGCGUUAAUCGGAAUUACUGGGCGUAAAGCGUGCGCAGGCGGUUUUGUAAGUCUGUCGUGAAAUCCCCGGGCUCAACCUGGGAAUUGCGAUGGAGACUGCAAGGCUAGAAUCUGGCAGAGGGGGGUAGAAUUCCACGUGUAGCAGUGAAAUGCGUAGAGAUGUGGAGGAACACCGAUGGCGAAGGCGGCCUGCUGGGCUAUGGCUGACACUGAGGCGCGACAGCGUGGGGAGCAAACAGG